UGCCAGCAGCCGCGGUAAUACGGAGGGUGCAAGCGUUAAUCGGAUUUAUUGGGCGUAAAGGGCGUCUAGGCGGGACGGCAAGUCAGUUGUGAAAUUCCGGGGCUCAACCCCGGCACUGCAUCUGAAACUGCCGUUCUUGAGGAUAGGCGGAGAAAGCGGAAUUCCACAUGUAGCGGUGAAAUGCGUAGAUAUUCGGAGGAACACCAGUGGCGAAGGCGGCUUUCUGGACCGAUACUGACGCUGAGACGCGAAAGCGUGGGGAGCAAACAGGAUUAGAUA
rnacentral:rRNA from 1 species